GAUGAACGCUGGCGGCGUGCCUAAUACAUGCAAGUCGAGCGAACAGACGAGGAGCUUGCUCCUCUGACGUUAGCGGCGGACGGGUGAGUAACACGUGGAUAACCUACCUAUAAGACUGGGAUAACUUCGGGAAACCGGAGCUAAUACCGGAUAAUAUAUUGAACCGCAUGGUUCAAUAGUGAAAGACGGUUUUGCUGUCACUUAUAGAUGGAUCCGCGCCGCAUUAGCUAGUUGGUAAGGUAACGGCUUACCAAGGCAACGAUGCGUAGCCGACCUGAGAGAGAGAUGGACCACAAUGGAACUGAAACGCGGUCCUGACUCCUACGGGAGGCAGCAGUAGGGAAUCUUCCGCAAUGGGCGAAAACCUGACGGAACAACGACGCGUGAGUGAUGAAGGUCUUCGGAUCGUAAAACUCUGUUAUUAGGGAAAAACAAAUGUGUAAGUAACUAUGCACGUCUUGACGGUACCUAAUCAGAAAGCCACGGCUAACUACGUG
rnacentral:rRNA from 1 species